GUGGGGAAUCUUCCACAAUGGACGAAAGUCUGAUGGAGCAACGCCGCGUGAGUGAAGAAGGGUUUCGGCUCGUAAAGCUCUGUUGUCGGGGACGAAUGUGCAGUAUUUGAAUAAAGUACUGUAAUGACGGUACCUGACGAGGAAGCCACGGCUAACUACGUGCCAGCAGCCGCGGUAAUACGUAGGUGGCAAGCGUUGUCCGGAAUUAUUGGGCGUAAAGGGAGCGCAGGCGGGAAGGUAAGUCGGUCUUAAAAGUGCGGGGCUCAACCCCGGGAUGGGAUCGAAACUAGCUUGAUUGAGUGCAGGAGAGGAAAGUGGAAUUCCUAGUGUAGCGGUGAAAUGCGUAGAUAGUAGGAGGAACACCAGUGGCGAAGGCGACUUUCUGGACUGUAACUGACGCUGAGGCUCGAAAGCCAGGGGAGCGAACGGGAUUAGAAACCCUAGUAGUCC
rnacentral:rRNA from 1 species